GUACUUGUACCGACUGGAUGAGCAGCGAACGGGUGAGUAACGCGUGGGGAAUCUGCCUUUGAGCGGGGGACAACAUUUGGAAACGAAUGCUAAUACCGCAUAAAAACUUUAAACACAAGUUUUAAGUUUGAAAGAUGCAAUUGCAUCACUCAAAGAUGAUCCCGCGUUGUAUUAGCUAGUUGGUGAGGUAAAGGCUCACCAAGGCGAUGAUACAUAGCCGACCUGAGAGGGUGAUCGGCCACAUUGGGACUGAGACACGGCCCAAACUCCUACGGGAGGCAGCAGUAGGGAAUCUUCGGCAAUGGACGAAAGUCUGACCGAGCAACGCCGCGUGAGUGAAGAAGGUUUUCGGAUCGUAAAACUCUGUUGGUAGAGAAGAACGUUGGUGAGAGUGGAAAGCUCAUCAAGUGACGGUAACUACCCAGAAAGGGACGGCUAACUACGUGCCAGCAGCCGCGGUAAUACGUAGGUCCCGAGCGUUGUCCGGAUUUAUUGGGCGUAAAGCGAGCGCAGGUGGUUUAUUAAGUCUGGUGUAAAAGGCAGUGGCUCAACCAUUGUAUGCAUUGGAAACUGGUAGACUUGAGUGCAGGAGAGGAGAGUGG
rnacentral:rRNA from 1 species